rnacentral:RNase_P_RNA from 1 species
ACGGGCCGGCAGACGGUCGCGUCGCCCGCUUCGGCGGGUGCCGAGGAACGUCCGGGCUCCACAGAGCAGGGCGGUGGGUAACACCCACCCGGAGUGAUCCGCGAGAAAGUGCAACAGAGAGCAGACCGCCGCGCGCAAGCGCGGUAAGGGUGAAACGGUGGUGUAAGAGACCACCAGGCGCCCGAGUGAUCGGGUGCGCUGGGUAAACCUCGCCCGGAGCAAGGUCAGACAGACGCCUAUGAGGUUGCUCGCCUCGGCGUCGGGUGGACCGCUAGAGGGCUGCGGUGACGCAGUCCCGAGAGAGAUGACCGUCGAAGGUGCCUCGUGCACUGGAACAGAACCCGGCGUAUCGCCGGCCCGUUUGC